rnacentral:rRNA from 1 species
GACGAACGCUGGCGGCGUGCUUAACACAUGCAAGUCGAACGGAAAGGCCCUGCUUUUGUGGGGUGCUCGAGUGGCGAACGGGUGAGUAACACGUGAGUAACCUGCCCUUGACUUUGGGAUAACUUCAGGAAACUGGGGCUAAUACCGGAUAGGAGCUCCUGCUGCAUGGUGGGGGUUGGAAAGUUUCGGCGGUUGGGGAUGGACUCGCGGCAUAUCAGCUUGUUGGUGGGGUAGUGGCUUACCAAGGCUUUGACGGGUAGCCGGCCUGAGAGGGUGACCGGCCACAUUGGGACUGAGAUACGGCCCAGACUCCUACGGGAGGCAGCAGUGGGGAAUAUUGCACAAUGGGCGGAAGCCUGAGGCAGCAACGCCGCGUGCGGGAUGACGGCCUUCGGGUUGUAAACCGCUUUCGCCUGUGACGAAGCGUGAGUGACGGUAAUGGGUAAAGAAGCACCGGCUAACUACGUG